rnacentral:lncRNA from 1 species
GUGCUAGUGAAACUGCCCUCAGAGCAGAAAUAAACUGUUGGCUCUCAAGUUUUUCCAGACUAACCGGACUGGCCAAUGCCUGAGGCUCUGUGUUCAAGAUAAAAGUGCCUAAGAAAGAAAAGUGCAGGUAGGCAGUCCCCACUUCUGCAGGGCUGGUGGGCUCUGGGGAUCCUGUCUCAGCCUGCUGAACAGCCCAGAGUGGCUUUAAAAAAAAAAAAAAAGCCUGAACAACCUUUUUUUGCACAUGGGUCACAGUCAAGCUUCUUAAACUUGGAUGACAGUAAACCUAUGACUAACUGGAUAAUUAAAGCCACAAGUCUGGAGGCCUGGGCAGGGCUCUGCUCUGGAAUCUCCGGUGGCCUGUUCCAUAGGCCAGCGUCCCUUGUCCUUCCCAUAGCAGAAAUGCUUUCGUGAGUUGGAAACCCUCUGUGGUGACCUCUACAUCUUCUCAAGGUCAGUUAUCCACUUGUCCAUGGCUUCGUGCCCCCAUCCCACAUCCCUGUCCACUGCAUGGAAGGAGGAAAUCUAACCCACCCGCCACAGUGCAGCCCACACUCCCCACACUGCCCCGACAGGAACAUGACAGAAGGUUUCCAACUAAAACCAAAGUUACUCAGCAAAGCUUCCUGCCAGGCAGCCGUGCUGGAGGGCGCAGCGUGCCUCUGUCUGCUCUUUCUGUUCUAUGAAACUUCUCUGCUGCAAGCACUUGAGAGCCUCUUGGCUUCCUGGGGAGAGUGGACUGAACUUCAAAGCAGACACAGCUGCAGCUAAGAAGCCCCUGGGUUGCCUCAAAGACUCUGUCUCCUCCCAGUCUGAAGCUUCUGGUGAAUGUUUCUCCCUCAUUCCUGAAACAACAGAUAGAGCUGUUGAAGUUUACAACGUCCCCCAAGGCAUUUCUGUGUUUCUGCCUUUAAUCUAGGGCCCAAGUGACCACCCACAAGAAUGCCCCGAACACUCACUGCCUCAGGAUGCGUCCUGCAAUUUACAUUCCCGUGGUGCCUCUGCCUUCACCCCACGCUGGUGCCCCCGCCUCCACUCCAGCCGUCUCUCUGGCCACCCCUGCCCCCUCGCUUCUCUCCAUCAUGCCAAAAAGUGCCCUCGUCCUCUGACGGUGGAAGAGGGGAUUCAGUUAGGAGUCGGGAUGGCCUAUGUGAUUUUUGUACACUAUUCCAGAAUAGGUGUGUGGUUGCUUUAAAAAUCAAAAGAAAUGUGUCUUCCAAAUCUUUGAAGCCCUUUGAUUUCAGGAAGCUGUGGACCGUGUUUAGCCUGUGGCUCUGUGUGCCCCUUGGCUGCUGCUGCUGCUUACUCCUGAGGGUGAAGUUGCUAACAUAAGAAACGAGUAAUUUGGAUUUGCGCUUCUUGGAGAAAGAAUUGUGCCAUGAAAAAUGGAAAACUCCUGAGAAGCUGUUCCAGCGUCAGGAGAGCAGCAGACAAGCUGGACUGGGGAAGAUUCUUCCUGCAAGACCUGCAGAGUGUAUGACACAUAACCAGCACCCAAGAAAUGUCUACCGAGGAAUUAAUGAAUGAGCCAUCUUGUGAUCAUCUGGCAAGACAGCCCAAGAAUAAAGCCGUCACCAUGGAGACUAAGAAGAGACAGAAAGACACUGGGUCUUCAUUGUCUCGUCCAGCUGUUCAUGAGGCCUUAUCUGAAGCCCACGUGACCUCCGGACUACUCACUUACAUGAGAGAAUAAAGCUCUUUUUUGUUUAGACCAAAUAAAUACAUAAUACAAUUACAUAAUCCCUUGAUUCCUUUUUAUGACUGAGCUCAGAGACUAUAUUUUGUCAUUUUAAAUCACCUUUGUCUUACAGUUUAUUUAACUGAAACAAAUAAACAAACCAAAACACGCCAGUUUUUCACUCCUCUGUCAAAGCCUUUCCAAGAUCACUAAGCUUGUGAUGUCCUGGGUGAAUGAAGAAGUAACAGUGUUUUCAACAACAUAGAAGCUUAUUUCUCUCUCAUAUAAAAGAAGGCUGGAGUCUGGCUGGUAUGGGAGAUACAGCAUCAUCAAAGUUUUAUCUUUUCGUCCUGCCAUCCUUAGAAUAUGGCUUUCAUCUUCAAGAUCACUUCCUAAGCUAUGAGGAUGCAAAGGUAUAAGAAUGACAUAGCGGACUUUGGGGACUCGGUGUGGGGAGAAGUUGGGAGGGGUGAGGGAUAAGAGACUACAUAUUGGGUACAGUGUACACUGCUCUAAAAUCUCAGAAAUCACCACCAAAGAACCUAUCCGUGGAAUCAAAAACCACCUAUACCCCCAAAACCACUGAAAUAAAACUAAAAAUUAAUUAAAAAAAAAAACAACAUAACUUCAUGGUCCAAUGUGACAGCUAGAGCGCCAAUCAUCAUGUUAAACUUCCUGUUCCAGAAAGGCAUGGAAGGAAGGGAGAAGGAGAAAAAGGAGUCUGUGAGUAGUCUAUUCCCUCUUAAGGAGUCCACAGAAGACUACCCAACAACUUCUGCUUAUGUCUCACUGGCCCUCAGGCUGCAAAUGUGGCUUCCAAGUGUAGUCUUUCAGCUGAGCACACUGCCACCCAGAUUAAAAUCUGGGUUAUGUGACCAAGGAAAAAGAGGAGACUGGAUAUUGGAUAGGCAACUAACAGUCUCUGCCGCACCCUACUUAACAAACUGGCCCAGCUUCUGUGUUCAGAUCUGAUGCUUGGUGCCCGCAGCUCCAAGGAGACCCCAUGGUUCAAGCUGCAAUUACUUGCUCCACAGGCCCUUACCAAGGAAAGUCAGGUUUUUUCCCUCCUGAGGAUCCUCUGACCAGCAUCUUCAGAUUUUUUUUCAGUUAGAAGUAUUCAUUGGGCACCUGUUUUUUGUUUGUUUGUUUGUUUGUUUAUGACCACAUCAGUCUUUCAUUAGAAUCUUUGCUUUAUCUCAUUGCAUAGUUGAAUUUCUUCUCUGCCAUGUUCCAGUCAGACCCCAUUCAUACUCACCCAUCUUUGUUCACGUCUUUCCCUAGAACUUUGUUUUUGCAACAUGGGUCCACUCUUCCAUAGUUAGUUUCUCACUUCCCUCUGGCAUUAACUUUCUCAAUCUAGUGGAUAAGGCACUUGUGGCCCAGGGUAACAAGAACUAUGGUUGGUUGGCAACAGCAGCUGAGUGGGGCUGGUCUUCUCCGAAUCAUCAUGAAGGACAGGGAAUUAUUUUGCCUGGAGACAGGUGACUGGGUGAGGCUAGGGUGAUGAUUUCUUUUUCAGCUCUCUCAAGGCCUUCUGGCCCCUUAUUGUAUGUUUCAGGCCCCAUAGAUAGUGCUGCAAGCCUCUGUUAGUAAUUCAUAGGCAGAAACAAGGCAAAGUCAAACAAUAAUAGGGAAGUAAAUUAUUGUCUCACUAGAGGCAAAACAUCUGCUCCUCCCCACCUCACCUGCAUAAAAGCAAAAAAACCAAUUUAAAUCAAUGUGGAAGAAUGCUAACAAAACAUGUUACCUUGAAUCUUCAUAUAAAGAAUACCUUUUAGAAAUAUCUAGUUGUUUCAUUUACUUGAAUGUUCCCAUUUUGAUUUUAAUUAUAAACUGAAAGCUAUUAUAAAUCAUAAUUUUACAUUCUAUUAUGCAUUUUCAAAUAGAAACAUCCUCAGGCAAAUGUGAACAAUUAUCUCCAAAUGUGACUUUUUUUAAAGUUAUAAUCUUCAGAGGAACAACUAAAUUAUACUUUAAAUCAUUAGCUUAAAACUAAACCUGGCCAGGCACAUGGCUCAUGCCUGUAAUCACAGCACUUUGGGAGGCCAAGGAAGGCAGAUCACUUGAGGUCAGGAAUUCAAGGCCAGCCUGGCCAACAUGGCAAAACUCCAUCUCUACUAAAAAUACAAAAAAUUAGCCUGGUGUGGUGGCACACACCUGUAAUCCCAGCUAAUCGGGAGGCUGAGUCAGGAGAAUCACUUGAACCCAGGAGGCGGAGGUGGCAGUGAGCCGAGAUCACACCACUGCACUCCAGCCUGGGUGACAGAGUGAGACUCCAUCUCAAAAAAAUAAAUAAAUAAAACAUAAAACUAUGAGACCUGAUAUUACGGGUUUAACCAAGAGGACUUGCCGUUGGAUUUUUAAGUUUUUAAAAUUGAUAUAAUCAUCCCUUUUAUUAGAGAUACUCAUAUAUUUUUAAACCAAAUGAUUGUAAUGAUGCACAUUUUAGGGCCAGAGGCAUUCAUUAUCUUAUGGCCUAAUGAUAAAUGGUGCAAAGGUUUGAGACCUAACAGACUGUUACUAUACUGAGAGGGCAGGUGAAGAAAUUCCAAAGAGAGGUAUUAGCAUAUUUCCUCUCUGCUUUUCAAUUUCCAGCAACAGAUGGUAACAUCACAGUUCUGAACAUUCUCCAUAUAUUAUUUGGAUUAAACAGAGGCUCAUUUUCCAGGGAAAACGGGCAGCAUCAGUGUUAAAAGGUGCUUUUGCUAAUAAGCCAAUCUGUAUCCAAACGUCACACUACAUUCACUCUGAUAAGAUCCUUCCAGAAACCCAGCACUAGGAAUGACUCCAUUCCCCUGAGAAGCACAGUCACAAGCAUCCAAGGCCAUUGGGAGAACUGGAUGAAUAUCAAGGGAUGUGUCUUUUUGGAGCCGGGGAGGAUGUACUGAGGAGGGCAGACACUAAAGCAAACAGGAUCUAUCUCAGAAAGGUCAUUUGAAAGAGAACUUACAGAGGAAUGGCAUCCUCCUUUGUCUUUGGAUAGACCAGCCAGGUCUCUGGCAGCCCUACCGCCUGGACUCCUUUCCAGGGCUGAAGCACCCCUACGAGCAGUUGAACAGCAUGACUCUGGCAGCGAAGAAACCCUGGAUGGGCCUCUGAGGCUGGGGAGCCUGACCAGUACCUCACUGAUGGGAAAUUGCACUGUCCUUGGAGACAUUGUCCUUGUUGUCGCCUUAAGAGCUUUCCUUUGUUCUUUCUCUCCCAGUAUACCGCAGCUUGAUUUUCUCCCUGCUUUCCACAAUAGCAUUCUGCACACAGGAUCGUGAGCCACAAAGCUAGGGGGACCAUGUGUAACAACUUAUACAAGGAGCAUGGUCCUGUAAAACUAGCUGUUUGAUGUUGGGCAAGUCACUUAACUUCUCUGUGUCUCUGUUGUCACAUUUGGAAAAUGGAGAUUAUAACAGCAUUCACCUCCCAGAACUGAUGAGUAAAUACUGCCUAGCUGAUAGAGCUCCAUAAAGGUUAGCUAUAGCUACAAGGACAGGUGAGCAGUUUCUUCUACUGCACCUUCUCCCUGGAUUUACAUUUCACUAAAACACACAUUUGCCUCUCCAAACACAGGACCAAGAUCAUAAGAAAAUGAAUUGUCUCACUUGAAAUUCUUUAAUUGGUCUUGGAAUUCUUUAAUUCCGUCCAUAGUUCUUGAGAUAUCAAAAGAUAUCUGUGACUGGGUGUGGUGGCUCACGCCUGUAAUCCCAGCACUUUGGGAGGCCUAGGCGGGCAGAUCACUUGAGGUCAGGAGUUCUGAGACCAGCCUGGCCAACUUGGUGAAACCCCAUCUCUACUAAAGAUACAAAAAUUAACCAGGCAUGGUGGCGUACAUCUAUAAUGCCAGCUACUCAGAAGGCUGAGGCAGUAGAAUUACUUGAACCUGGGAGAUGGAGGUUGCAGUGAGCCGAGAUUGUGCCACUGCACUGCAGCCUGGGCAACAGAGCGAGAUUCCGUCUCAAAAAAAAAAAAAAAAGAUGUGUGUGUGUGUGUGUGUGUGUGUGUGUGUGUGUUUGUAGAUUCUUUUAGUCACACAAAGUCUAUGCUGAUUUGGUUAAAUGUUAAUCUAAUGGUGAUGGGCUAAAUAGCAUUUGUUAACUAUUAGCACACUGGCCUCAGGAACAUGUGGGUAAAAUGUAACUACGUUAUCUUCGUUCAAAUUCCUUUUCUGUGACCGACUGGUUCAAAUUCCUUUUUAGUGACCGACUGUUGUCUCAAUGAACCUUUGCCGGGUUUUUGUUUUUUUCUUGGUUAGAGCAGAGAGUAAAAUAAGUACAACCAGACUUUCUCAUAUGGAGAUAAAUUGAUGCCAAAUUAGGUCUGCAGAGGCCUCAUUUUGGCUUCUCUGGUCACUGUGCAGACACAUUUUCAUGCACAUUGAAGAUAGUCCAUUAGUUCUUGGCAAGGAGAAUUAAGUUUUCAAAGCUGCUGUCUCUAACAAGCCUCCCCUUUCUUAUGCACAAAACCUCACUGGAGGUGAGAGGCUCUUCCCCAUUUAUGGAGGAGAGGGGCAAGCUCCAUCUGCAGUUGCCCCACUGUAGCCCUGACGAUCAUCAUUCCCAUGAGGCCUCUGGACUCUGAUUUGGAUCAAUCAUUGAGCUCCAGCAUACAAUCCAGAUUAAAAUCUCUCCUUCGCAGGAGGAAAGCAUUUUUAACCUCAAAAUUAUAUAGAGAGGGCUUCAAAAAGUAAUUUGCAAACUUCUUUGCCUCUGGAGAGGGUACGUCCAUUCUCAUCUGAAAUUUUCCCUCAGUGCCUUCUGUUUUGCAUUGACUGAGCUUCUGAGCUCUCGCGAUGCAGCUGAAAAGGAAACAAAGAAGUUUUGCUCCUAUCUGUUUCAGUGAAAAUGUAAGCCAGAAUGUUGUGGGUUGAGUCAGAUUCUCAAUGGGAUCUUUAGAUGGGGUUCCUGGGAGGAAAAUCCUGUAGAUUUAUUCUGGAGUACCUAGCCGCUACCAAGCCAGGACUCCUUGACCUAAAUGUGCUCUCUGAGCAGAGCCUCCUUCACGUAGAGAAGUGAACAUUGUAGUGAAUGAAGGGUGUUGAAGUGCUAAGGAUCAAUAUUCACUAGCAACCAGAAUUUUGGAACAUGGUUACCAUGGUAACAUUGUCAGCCCCAAAUGACUGUCAUGAGGUGAAAAAAAAUUAUCUUAAAAUAAAUGAAACCAGAAAAAGUAUAUUUAUAUACCUCUUACCAAACACCUAUCUGUUCACAAAGUAGAACAUGUUCUUUAAGCUAUAGAUACUCAAAGACUGGGGGAAA